rnacentral:rRNA from 1 species
GCUUAACACAUGCAAGUCGAGCGGAAAGGCCCCUUCGGGGGUACUCGAGCGGCGAACGGGUGAGUAACACGUGAGCAACCUGCCCCUGACUCUGGGAUAAGCCCGGGAAACUGGGUCUAAUACCGGAUAUGACCGGCCUUCGCAUGGGGUGYCGGUGGAAAGUUUUUCGGUUGGGGAUGGGCUCGCGGCCUAUCAGCUUGUUGGUGGGGUGAUGGCCUACCAAGGCGACGACGGGUAACCGGCCUGAGAGGGCGACCGGUCACACUGGGACUGAGACACGGCCCAGACUCCUACGGGAGGCAGCAGUGGGGAAUAUUGCGCAAUGGGCGGAAGCCUGACGCAGCGACGCCGCGUGRGGGAUGACGGCCUUCGGGUUGUAAACCUCUUUCAGCAGGGACGAAGCUAACGUGACGGUACCUGCAGAAGAAGCGCCGGCUAACUACGUGCCAGCAGCCGCGGUAAUACGUAGGGCGCAAGCGUUGUCCGGAAUUAUUGGGCGUAAAGAGCUCGUAGGCGGUUUGUCGCGUCUGUCGUGAAAGCCCACGGCUUAACCGUGGGUCUGCGGUGGAUACGGGCAGACUAGAGGCAGGUAGGGGAGAAUGGAAUUC